UACAGAGGGUGCGAGCGUUAAUCGGAAUUACUGGGCGUAAAGGGCGCGUAGGCGGCCCGCCAAGUCCGGGGUGAAAUACUCCAGCUUAACUGGAGAAGUGCCUUGGAAACUGACGGGCUCGAGCGAGGUAGGGGUGAUGGGAACUUCCGGUGGAGCGGUGAAAUGCGUUGAUAUCGGAAGGAACGCCGGUGGCGAAAGCGCAUCACUGGACCUCUUCUGACGCUGAGGCGCGAAAGCCAGGGGAGCAAACGGG
rnacentral:rRNA from 1 species